GAUGUACUCCCUCCGUUCAGAAUUACUUGUCGCAAAAAUGGAUGUAUCUAGAUGUAUUUUAGUUCUAGAUACAUCCAUUUCCGAGACAAGUAAUUCGGAACAGAGGGAGUACAUA
rnacentral:pre_miRNA from 1 species